UCAUUUGAAUGUGUCAUUUAUUCAUUCGGUCACAGGUCUCAUUCGCAGAUAUUUCAUCUCCUGACUGGCGGAAUAUCAUUUAACUGGUUGUUCAACAGCAGUGCUGCUUUUAGUUGGCAAUCAAACCCAUGUGAAUACUGGGAGGCUGUUGCCACACAUCAGCCUGAAGAAACACAGGACUUGUUCUGCUACAUUCCAUCUUCAGUUUUCUUAACAGGUGAAAGGUUCUGUGUUUCCUGUGAGACAGAACAUGCAUAGUAGCGUUCUGUGUUUUUCCUUAGAACACACAGAAAAUGAGUUGUGUUUUUAGAGGGAAAGAAUAAUAAUUUUAGGUUUCUGUGUGGUGCAUUUGCAUGACACAACAGCAGUCUUUAAACAGGCCGAUUACAAAUUAAUGUAAUGAAAUAAGUUGAAUAUAGAAUGAAUAGCACAGGCUUGGAAUCUCUAACCACAUCAGUUUGACUAUAGAAAUGUACAGAAUAGAACAGGCAUCCCCAUUUAAAUUGAUAAUGGUAUAGUCAAUUAUUUAUUACAGCUAAACUGCAAUCAUCCAGAAGGAAUCAUUUCCACUUAAAGGGUUGACCUAGGGAAUGAGGUGGGUGGAGCUAAGCAGGUGAACUUCAUACCUGAUUGGGCAACAUUGAUGCGUUCUACCAUAUUUCUGUUAUGAAUCAUUAGGAAACGCCCAGCCCUCCCUGCACAUUUUUCAUGAAUUAGCCAGAGUACAGUCAGCAAAACUGUUAAAAACGUUAUUUUGUGACAUUAAAUGUUUAAUCUAUGAGAAAAUCAUCAUGGUUCCAGGUCCAUCUCUCUCCAUGAGCUUCCAAUCCCAGUGGGAAGUAGACAUGAUGGCUUGGUGCUUACGAUGUACACAGCAGAGGACUGCCUGUCUAUGGGCCAGCAAACAUUGCAAGUAUCCUCAUUCAAACAAAAACGAUGUUCAACAAUUCAAGACAGAAGGAAAAACGCAAGAUUCCAACUCCCAUUCAAAACACAAAUUAAUUGGAUCAGUGCCAAUGCUGGAUUCUACAGAAUUAGUUUUGUACACACUUAGAUAAAAAAAAUUGUUAACAAGUCUAAAUUUACAGAAUAAAACUAAAGUGGUUUUGCUGGGUUUGCUUAAGUUACAGGAAAAGUACUGCAUUUGGGUUAAUUUGGUGAAAUGUCUGGUUACUGUGGCAUAAUAGCAUCCCAUUUGUCUCAAACUUAACUGGUGAAACCUGGGAAACUGUAGUAAAACCUGGGCUCAACAAUACAAGGUUAGGACGAGAUGGAUUCUACUAUCGCAUAAUUCAUUGUGCCACCAAUCAGCACAGGACCAGCAAACAGAUGGUCUGACUGGACUUGAAUACCACUCCUGCCUUAUGCUGUUGUUCUAAUAUCCUCCAUGGUCACAUAUCCUAAUGUCCUCUGUGGUCACAUGUCCUAAUGUCCUCCGUGGUCACAUGUUGUCUUAAUGUCCUCCAUGGUCACAUGUCCUAAUGUCCUCCGUGGUCACAUGUUGUCUUAAUGUCCUCCGUGGUCACAUGUUAUCCUAAUGUCCUCCGUGGUCACAUGUUAUCCUAAUGUCCUCCGUGGUCACAUGUUAUCCUAAUGUCCUCCGUGGUCACAUGUUGUCCUAAUGCCCUCUGUGGUCACAUGUUAUCCUAAUGUCCUCCGUGGUCACAUGUUGUCUUAAUGUCCUCCAUGGUCACAUGUCCUAAUGUCCUCCGUGGUCACAUGUUGUCCUAAUGCCCUCUGUGGUCACAUGCUGCUGACGAAACCCCAAGGGUGACUACCACAGUAUGGGGGGGUUUAUUAAACACAUCAACUCCGAGACAAACUCACAACUUGAAUGAUGCAAUUCAUGGUUCACUUUAAGUUAAUAAAACAAGCAAAAAAUGAUUGUUUCCAAAUCCCUCCUAUCCAUUUUAGAAGACAUGAAUCGUAUUAACAUUUCAUUCAGGAGGUAUUUUGUAUAUGUGUUAAGUCUUGAAAUCAUGUUGUAUAAUUAUAGACACUCCUAUCCAGUCUUUUGUGUGAAAUUGCGCAAGCACAAAUAUAGCAUGGUGUCUAAUGGGAUUCCACUUAGUUCUUGGAAGCAUGGGUGCAUACUCAUUGCAAGGGGCUGCAGCAGGCUCUAUUAGCCCCUACCCUCAUUUAUUUUGAUUCCCUCUGUUUUAGGACACUCGUGCAAACGGCAGAGGCUUGUGUGAACAUGCAAAUGGAGUAUGCAGGAGAAAGGCUUAAUUGGGGAUUAGAUGUGAAUGGUAGCUGCACAAAAAUAUUGUCAUCAAGGUUAAGAAUUACUAUCAAAUUGCCUGUGUCACAAUUCCGGCCAGCCAAUGCCUUCGAUACAACUGUGACAUGCCCACAGGUCUUGCGUUAUUGCCCACGGGCCAGCGUUAUUGCCUGAGUUAAGAGCUCCAAGCCCCGUCUGUUCAUUCUAACUUCAGAGAUUGAUAAAUCAAUCAGUGGAAACAGUGGCUUGAUAUUGAGAUGUCAUAAUUUCCAUGGUGCAGUGACAUGAUUCUAACUGAAGUAGCGAUGUCACUUGAGUUGAUUCAAGCGAGGUAACACUUUAGACUCAGUAGACUGGGGUACGAGGUAACACUUUAGACUCAGUAGACUGGGGUACGAGGUAACACAUUAGACUCAGUAGACUGGGGUACGAGGCAACACUUUAGACUCAGUAGACUGGGGUACGAGGUAACACUUUAGACUCAGUAGACUGGGGUGCGAGGUAACACUUUAGACUCAGUAGACUGGGGUACGAGGUAACACUUUAGACUCAGUAGACUGGGGUACGAGGUAACACUUUAGACUCAGUAUUUAGAUGCAUGGGGAAAUAGUUUCACAGGUCAAUAAUCACAAGGAGGCAAAACAAAAUAUACAAUUCGGCCUGAACAUUUAUUUAUUUAUUUUUUGGCCAAUUAAACAAAUUGAUCAUAGAUUUAAACAAAACUUCCUAGAAACACAGUAUAUAUAGUCAAACCCAGCAUUAUCCCAAAGAAUAAGCGUUUUGUAAGUGGUUUACAAUUGACAUCCUACCCUACUAUCUUAUUCCACAAACAGGCUACUUCAGAUAUCUCCUCCACGUGCAGUAGAAGAAUGUCAAACGUUUCAAACACAAAUAUAUUAAAAGAUCUUCAAGAUUCUGAAAUCCAAACAUCAGAGACUCUUGAACAUUCUGCUUUGUGUCCUGCAUAAGAAACGCUCACCUCAUAAUCCACCAACAACACUGUGUGAAGAGAAAGGGGCAAAUAUUGCCACACUAUUGUCUGUAUAGGUCUGGUCAACUUCUAAUCCAAGUUAAUAGUAAAAGACUAAGCCUUGUUUCUUUGUUCUGACUAAACUCUUCUGAGUAAUUAACCAGUAAAGGCAUGCUGGACUGAUCAAUAUUUGCAUUAUAAGGCAACGGUAAAAGUUAAGUAUCAACUUGCCACUAGUGAAACCUGUUUCCACACUUCAGGUCUACAACUGUUUGCAUAUACAAAGUUGGGUGCUGUGGGAGAAAUGGUGCUUUGAUCACUGAAAUGACCAGGAGCUGGUGCGUUAUUUGCCCUGUUUAAACAAUGCAAUUGGCUCACUUUAUUUCCCAUUUUCAUGUCAAGAGACAUGUAGGCGCUGCACACUGUAAUCCAGUGUUUCUCAAACCUGCGCCUGGGCCCCCGCCCUGCACGUUUUAGAUCUCUCCCCGCCCUGACACACCUGAUUCAAAUGAUCAUCAACUGACACAACACAUGUCUUAUAUCCCUGUGACUUGAAUGAGGAAGGAGGCUUGAGUGCUUCAGUUAAGACAGAGCUGGUUCACCAACAUACCUGAAGUUGUCCUGGUUUGCUCGCAUUCGGCAACUCCACCGACAGUGCCCAGAGUAGGCCUUUGUUGCGUCACAUCCAAGGGUUGGACAUUACAGUACCAGUCUUAGAAACGAAGGGCUGGUCUCCCAGGUGCAGAUUAAUGCGGACUAAAAAGAACUUUCAAUGGAGAUUCUCCAUUGACUGUGCUAGUUAAUCUAGAGCUAGUUAAUCUAGAGCUAGUCUGGGAAACCACGUGCACUGGCACCUGGUGACAUGAC
ensembl:lncRNA